GUAGUCGUGGCCGAGUGGUAAAGGCGACAGACUCGAAAUCUGUUGGGAUAUUCCCGAACAGGUUCAAAUCCUGCCGACUACG
rnacentral:tRNA from 1 species